rnacentral:lncRNA from 1 species
CGCGGGCGAGGCGGCGGCGGCGGUGGGGUCGCGUUAGGCGGGUGUCGCGUACGGCCGAUAGCUGCCGCCGCCUCAGAGGGCGGGCUGAACCGCGCUCCCGCCUCGGUGAUGUGCCGGUGCUGUUACCAGGCAUCGAGGGGGAAAAACAAAACAAAGCAAACAAAAUAAUAGCACAAAAGCUCUUCACCUCAGGAUCAGCCCUAAGCGCUGCUCGGCUCCCCUUUAUCCUUGUUGCAUGGAGCAGCCACGCUUUACGCAGCCAGGCACCACCUGCGGCUGCAGAGGUCCUCCGGUGAUUCCCUGUGAAGUUCUCCCCUCAGUGCUUAGGUGGGGUUUUCUUUCCUGCUAGCUCAAAGUCUGAAAUGUUUUGCCGUUCUAUAGGCAACUAAGCUGUGGUGUAAUGCCAAGCACGAGCUCAGAAACCCAGCCCUUCACAGGGAAGACAUUGUUCAUAUUCACUAGAAUAGAUGUGACUUACUGCCGCUUGUAUGGUGAAUUAGGGGCUGGGCUGGCAUUAGUGAUGCUCCAACUUUGGUGAAACCAAUCUCAGUGAAACGAUCUUGUGAGGAACUCAGAAGUUUCAACUUUGAAUUAAGAGAUUAACGCUACCACCACAGUCCAAGCAAUACUAUGGAUACAUUGGGAACUGAGGGCCUGCAAAGACGAGUUCUGUUUCAGGCCUGCUGCCAGAAGGAGCUCUGUGAAAGGCUGGAAUGUCUGCGAGGAAUGGCACGUUACAGCAGCGGCGGUGCAUCUGUUGUGCAUGGCAGCUGCUGUGCAGCACUGGGCUCUCUGCAUCCUCUUGGUAUUUACAGACAACUGCUUUGAAUGUUAUGUUUUGUGUGGACACCUGUAAAAUACACUGCACAGGUUCUUGUUGGAGUUGCCCUGUGUGUUUCAGAUGCUCGUUUUAAAGGAAUAUAGUUAUAGAAGUGUAUUAAAACAUCGCUGAGUUCUUGAAGUCUUGACUAAACACUGAGGACUACCACAGAAAGAAGCAUUAAGACUUUCUCAUCACACAGAGGUUUACUAUUGCGAUGAAUUAUUAAGAACUAUGAAGGUGAUGAAGUCUGGAACACUGAAGUGUGUUUAAGUCCCUGUUGGAGCAUGUAAAUAAAAAUGGAUGGGUUAAUUCCAUUCAUCACUGAAAGAUGAUGAAAAUUGCAGGCCUUCUUUUUGAAUUAGGAUAUUUCUUCUAAGGAAAUGGAAGUCAGCAAACAGAUUUUCACUACAGUAGAGAAAGCAAUGAAAAAGUAUUUGGAAAGUAGUUCCAGCUGACCGCUCUGAUAAGACUAAGUUACGUGACAUAUCUGAUGUGGAAGAAGAAAUUGUACAGCAAUAGGAAGUUGUUAUCUCCAUAUCUCAAAUGCUAACACAGCUCCCCCAGUCAACUGUGAGAUAGAUCUACUCUUGUUAUGACAGCUGCUGGAAACUGAUGUCAGUAUAUCUGUACAGUGUCUUUUGAUAGUCUUAACUGUUACAAAUCUUAAAGUAUGUUUAUGAUGUUAUCUAAGACACGCUGUUUGAAAAUGGCUCUAUUUAUAAUCAGAAAUUGCUCGUGCUUUUUUAAUAAAUAAAUUAUAGGCUAGUCUGAUUUGCUUGAACUUUUUCUUUCUGAAGCCUUAAGCCAGAGGAUUAAUUAAUGUUUAUACAGCACUUUGUAAACACAGG